rnacentral:tRNA from 1 species
GCGCUCGUAGCUCAAUGGAUAGAGCAACAGCCUUCUAAGCUGUGGGCUGCAGGUUCAAGUCCUGCCGGGCGCGCCA